GUUUGAAUUAUUGUAACCUUUGUACUGUGCAUACACGGGUUACACAUUUCUCCCCCUUUUUCAUUGUUCUCCCGGGAUUCCCUCAAUCAUACUCCCUCUUUCCCUCAGUCCUGCUCCCUCAAACUCAUCCUCAUUCUCUCUCUCCCGACAAGCUCUCUCUCACUCCCUCUCCCUUUCUACACUCACGGCAAAACAACAAGACUCUCAAAAAUUUCACAGAUCGAAGAAAAUAAAACCACAAUCGUCUUCGUCUCGACGAUACGAGUCCAACCAUACCUAUUUCAGGUAAGAUCUCUAACGUUUUCACGUCGAAAUCACGAGCACCGAUUUGGGUACUAUUCAUCAACUUUUUAUUGGUUGAUUUUUAGGACUUUUCAAGCUUAUAGGAAGCUUCUUGAGGUCCUUAGGAGGCUCGGGGUAGUUCGUUGGAAGUUUUUGGACGUAAGAACACGGAGAUCGACAAGUUCAAAGUUUGGCCGGAGAUUUCGAGGCUUUUUCCGGC
rnacentral:lncRNA from 1 species